rnacentral:rRNA from 1 species
UAUGUACGGAAUGGAUAAGCGCUGAAAGCAUCUAAGCGCGAAGCCAACUUCAAGAUAAGAUUUCCCACCGCAAGGGUAAGACCCCAGAAAGACUAUCUGGUUGAUAGGUCGAAGGUGUAAGUUCAGCAAUGUAUUUAGCUUAUCGAUACUAAUAGGUCGAGGACUUGACCAAUAUUUAUU